UUCGCCUGUUUAUUCAAAAACAUCUCUGUUUGAAGGUAAUAAAUAGUUUAACCUGCCCACUGGGAACUGAAGGGCCGCGGUAUACUGACCGUGCAAAGGUAGCAUAGUAAUUAGUUCUUUAAUUGAGGACUGGGAUGAACGGUUGGACGAGAAGUCAACUGUCUCUAAUAUAAAUUUUGAAUUUUACUUAUAAGUGAAAAGGCUUAUAUAUUAUAAAGGGACGAUAAGACCCUAUAAAACUUUACUUUCUAUUCUAAAAACAGGGCAGUAAAAGUGUAACAGCCACUUUUAGGGUAGAUGUUUUAUUGGGGCGAUAGAAAUAUAAAAUUUUUAACUGUUUUUAUUUUUAAAAUAAUAAUAAUUAGGCUAGGUGAUCCUUUAUUAUGGAUUAUAAGAUUAAGUUACUUUAGGGAUAACAGCGUAAUUUCUCUUGAGAGACCUAAUCGACAGAGUUAGUUGCGACCUCGAUGUUGAAUUAAGAUGUUACUUAGGCGGAGAAGCCUAAGCAGUAGGUCUGUUCGACCUUUAAAAUCCUACAUGAUUUGAGUUCAAACCGGCGUGAGCCAGGUGGGUUUCUAUCUAAA
rnacentral:rRNA from 2 species